AUUGGGUUCGGUCAUACACAUAACUCAGAUUUUACUUCAAUGUAUUUACUAGUAUUCACUCGUAUUUAUUUUUGCUAUUGAAACUAAAUUAUAUUAUUUUUUCACAUUUUAACAAAUGCUCUUUCCAAUAUUUUUUCCUAUUUGAUGUAGUUUAGUUCAUCACUAUCGUAAGGAUAAAUAGUGUCGACCACAUCAACUAGUCGAAAAGGUACUUACGUGCUUUUGCUCCAUAAAAUAACAAAACCAAACAAAAAUACUUAAGCAGCCACAUUUCAUUCGACAACGACCUCUUAACUUAUGAAAACGUAUUAGUACUACAAAUCCGUGUACUUGAAGAUUUCGAAGAAUGGCAACAAAUACAGGUUUGAGUUUGCAUCUUAUAGCUGUCAGUGCUCCGUAGUUUGUUUUCGUGCUGGUAAACAAAUGUUAUAGUUUAUAGUUACCACAGACUUUUACAUUUUGUAGUUGUUCGCAAGAUAAUUUGCUAAUAAGAUGUGUUAUUAAAUACGUUAUUCAAAUACGCUAUUCAAUCAAUUUUAUUGCCUGUUUCAUAAAUUUUCAAUUUUUACUUGACAAGCUGACUUUUUCAGCUAUUCGACAUUUGAAUUGUUUGAUAUUUUCUGGAGGAAUUUGCAAAAAUUUGCGUCUUUAAAUAUCUCAAACAGAAAAAUGUCUGGUGCAGUUAUUGCAUUUUCGCACACUCUCACCAGAACUUUUAUAGAGUUUAUAGCAGUGUUAGCUGCUGCUCCAUUUUCCUAUUUGAUUUAAUGAUCUUCAUUUUUCUAUAUCAGGAACGUCUCUAAUAUAUUUGCCCAAAGUUCAGACGUUUAUUCAUUCUUUAAAGAAACAGGGGUCAAAAUUGUCAAUUUUUUUAUUUUGAAAGUAGUUUAUUAUAAUUUCUUGAGGAUUUUCGUUUGACCGUUGCCUAAAGCGCUGUUUUUGGGAAACCUUCAGAAAGAAUAUUUUUUGUUUACCUUAUGGCAAUAAAUGCAUUAAAAUAUA